rnacentral:rRNA from 1 species
UUUUUAUGGAGAGUUUGAUCCUGGCUCAGGACGAACGCUGGCGGCGUGCCUAAUACAUGCAA